ensembl:snRNA U4 U4 spliceosomal RNA
AGCUUUGUGCAGUGGCACUAUUGUUGGCCAAUGAGGUUUAUCCAAGGCACAAUUAUUGCUAAUUGAAAGAAAAAGAUUUGACAACCGCCAACACAAACAAUAGCUGUCUGGUGUGAAUGAAUCAAAAUGACACCAACUUUCUUGUCA